UGUUCAUGAUUAAAUCUGUAUGCUGGCUUAUUUGAGUGACUUCUCUCUGAUUGCAGUUUCCUCAGUCCUAGUUCUUCCUCUUCUUCUUCUUCUUUUUUUUUUUUUUCUUUUCUUUUUUCUUCCCUUUCCUUCCUUUCUUUUUGGUUUAGAGAAGCCCUUUCAAUAUUUCCUUUAACCUGGGUUUUGUGUUGCUGUAUUCUUUAAGUUUUUGUUUGUUGGGAAAAAUUUUUAUUUCCCCUUCUAUUUUAAAUGAUAUUCUUGCUGGAUAAAGUAUUCUAGGUUGCAUAUUUUUUCCUUUGAGCACUUUAAAUAUCUCUUGCCAUUCCCUCCUGGCCUGUAGUGUUUCUGUAGAGAAAUCAGCUGAUAAUCUUAUGGGGGUUCCCUUGUAGGUAACAUUCUGUUUUUCUCUUGCUGCCUUUAGGAUCCUCUCUUUAUCACUAACUUUUGCCAUUUUUAUUAUGAUGUGUCUUGGUGUGGGUCUGUUUGGGUUCAGUUUGUUUGGGGCCCUCUGUGCUUCUUGUAUCUUGAAUCCAGUAUCCUUUAGAUUUGGGAAGUUUCCAGCGAUAAUUUCUUCAAAUAUAUUUUCCAUUCCCUUAUCUUUUUCUACUCCUUCUGGAAUUCCUAUUAUGCGUAGAUUGGCCCGCUUUAUAUUAUCCCAUAGGUCUCUUAUAUUGCUUUCCAGUUUUUUGAUUCGGUUUUCUGUCUGUUGACCAGAUUGAGUGAUUUCCAUUAUUCUAUCUUCCAUAUCACUGAUUCGUUCUUCUGCGUUAUUCAUUCUGAUUUUUACUGCCCCUAGUUCAGUUUGCAUCUCUGCAAAUGAAUGUUCUAGUUUUUCUUGGCUCCUCCUUAUAUUUUCUAGUUCCUUUCUGAGGGUAUCUGCAUUACUGUUCAUAUCUUCUCUUAAUUCCUUCAGUAUUUUCACUAUUUCUCUUUUGAACUCCAGGUCUGUCAGACUGCAGAGAUCUGUUUCAUUGUUGACUGUUUUAGGUGAGUUCUCCUGUUGGUUUGACUGGGAGUGGUUUCUCAGCUUCUUCAUCUUGCUUGUUGUUUUCUUUCUCCUGAGGGAGUUGUACUCUCCGUGAUCGGGCAGUGUUUGCCUUGUCACUGCCGUGGAAUAUUUCCUGAGGGCUGGCGUUGUUGGUCAAUCUUUUUUGAGGCAGUGUGGCUUUUCUGGAGUGUUGAUGGAGCUAACAGUGUUUCUUUGAAGCAAAGGAGGACUUCCUGAGGGCAGACAGGACUGAGCGGUCCACACCGCGAUGGUAGCAGAUUUCACUUGGCCAUGCAGAGCUUGCUCUGGUGUUUUUAGGCUGUGGGGUUCUUGCAGGGGGUUGGCGGUGUUGGGCAGCUGCUUUUUAGGGGUGCAUCACCCCCUGGGGGCUGGAGAAGCUAUCUGGGGCACUGAGAACCUGAGAGGCUCUUCCCUAGGGCAGCCCAACUCAGAAGGACAGCCUGAGAAUGUAGGCGGAUCUUUUCACAGUCUGGCUGAGCUUGUUGCAGCUUUUCUGGGCUGCAGGGGGUCCUGCCUGGAGCUAGCAGUCCUAUGCAGCUGGUCCACUAGAGCAUCCCCUGGGGGCUUGGGCGGGUAGCAGGGCCUUUGGAAACUGAAGAGGCUCCUCCCAGGGGCAACCCGACUCAGAAAAACCGUCCGAAAAUUAGGCCGAUCUAUUCACAGCCUGGCUAAGCUUGUUCUAGCUUUUCUAGGCUGCAGGCCUUUUCUCAGGGGCUGGGGGCUGGUGGUGUUUGGUGCUGCUCUGUGGAAGUGUAGCCCCUCCAAAGGGCAAGCUGGCCUGUGCAGGGAGAGCCCCUGCGGUGGUAGGCUUCAGGCAAUUGUUGAGGCCAGCCCUCCUGGAUGGCAGGCAGCCCCAGGUUCGGCGAGAGCGUAGGGGGUGGCGGGGGUGGGGGGAGGGAAUGCACUGGGAAGCACAGCUUUCUGCUAGCUAGCGGGCCUGUAAGCUUGUUGUGGCGUGGGGGGUAUUCUAUGGGGACCCACCCCUUCUUCUCUCCCCUCCCCAGCACGGGCGCAGACCCGGCUCUUCUCCCAGGUUCCCUCUGAGGCGGCUUUCCACUUCCCCGCCCCUAGAGUAUUGCUCCCUUCCUCUGCGACAGCUUUGUUUUCUAGUCUCCCAGGCAGUCUCUGCCCCGUCAAAUGGUUUAGAGACCUCCCAAGCAGUUUCCGCUCUUCCCCGCCCCCCUAGCUCGGGGACUAAUCUCUGGAGCCGAGGUCUCGGUGCCCAGCCCCCACCCAGGCGUCCCCCAGCCCUUUCCCGGGGACUAACCUCUGGAGCCGAGGAUUCGGUGCCCAGCCCCCACCCAGGCGUC
rnacentral:lncRNA from 9 species